rnacentral:rRNA from 1 species
AAGCAUUGUUUCUAGAUCUGAGUAUAUCAAUAUUACCUUGUUCAGAACUUAAAGAGAAAUCUUGAGUUUAUGGACUUCAGGGGGAGUAUGGUCACAAGGCUGAAACUUAAAGGAAUUGACGGAAGGGCACACCAGGAGUGGAGCCUGCGGCUUAAUUUGACUCAACACGGGAAAACUUACCAAGACCGAACAGUAGAAGGAAUGACAGAUUAAGAGUUCUUUCAUGAUUUAUUGGGUAGUGGUGCAUGGCCGUUCUUAGUUGGUGGAGUGAUUUGUCAGGUUAAUUCCGGUAACGAACGAGACUGAAACCUAUUAAUUAGUUUUCUGCCUAUAAGACAGAAAUGUUCGCGAGAACAGGUGCGUAAGUACCACUUCUUAAAGGGACACAUUUCAA